GGUUUGACCUCGGAUCAGUA
rnacentral:rRNA from 1 species